CUUAACUGACUGUUCGCUAACACAGCGUUAACGUCUAUUUUAACGAUGAUUGGUGAAACCGGCCAUAAGAGUUUUAGAUAAUACCCCAUAUCAUUCUGUUAAAGAAGAAAUUGCCAACGAAGUCUUUGACUAAAUUCAAUAUUCAAGCUUAGUUAAUCGGCAAAAAUAUUGAUUGGAAUAUACAUAUGAUCAAGAUAGAACUGAUAGUAAUCAUAAAUGCUCAUUGCCCAUGCAUUCGAAUAUUAUCGAAUUGAUAAACUGGGAUCAGAAUCUGAUCAGAUCGUCCUCAGGCUUCCUCCCUAUCACUGAACUCAAUUCUAUUGAACUUAGUUGGAGUCAAGUGAAGGAGUAUAUAAUCACCGAACAUUACGUAGAAAAUGCUGAUGUUAUAUCUUUGAUGGAAGAAAUCAUAAAUGUUGCUACUGAAGCAUAGAGUGAUUGUGUUGACCAUGUGAAAAAAUUGAAGAAACAAUUUUUGGAUAAUACAUGUUUCCAUAAAGAUGUCACUACCGUAAUAAUCAGCACCAUCGAUAUGACCAACACAAUUAAACACACUCUAAAUUCGGAAGGCAGAAAAUUUGCCAUAAACAUUAUAUACAGGCGAUCUCGACUUUCGUAUAAUUCUCAAUUUCGUAUAUAGUUAAUAGUUUUAUUGAUACGUAUCCUAAAAACGGGCGUACUUCCUUGUAGCCACUCUCUCCUCCUCUCCGUCAUUAAUUCCGCCCCGUUUCCGGCGUCGACACGUUCACUCUUGAAUUAGGACGUGUGUUGUAAAUACAUUUUAAAAACACCUUUCCAAACUUUUUUACAUUGCUCUAGUUUCGUACAUUUAACUUUCGUAUAUAUUUCGGGAACCAAUUCAGUACGAAAGUCGUGGACGGCCUGUACAUACAUCAUUGAUGUAAAGGCUCUUUUAAGGGGCAAAUAUUUCUGAAAAGAAUAAAGUUAAUAUUGAUUUUUUAAUUUAAUAACAUUUCAGUAUGUAUAAAGUUAAAUAUUCUCUAGCUUUAUAUACAGG
rnacentral:lncRNA from 1 species